UACCAAUAAAUAGUUGAAUUCCCCUGGAGGUCAAUAGUAUACAAAAUGAAAAAAAAUCUCCCUGGAUGAUUGUGUAAGGAUCACCUCUGAUUUAGUCAUAUUUCCAUGAAGCCUUGCUCCAGUGGAGUAAUGCUCCAGGACUUCUUCAGGCAUUGAACACAGAUUUGUGUUUUACUGAGAUAAAGCGAGAUGUCAUCUGUGAAAAGAGCAAUUUAUGUCCUUUGUCAUGGAUUGUGAUGCCUCGAAUCUCUGGAGACUUUCUGAUAGUUAUUGCUAGGGGUUCAGUGGACAGAGCAAUCAGAGGAGGUGACAAAGGACACACUUGCCUUCUGCCUCUCUAAGGAAAAAGUCAUUCAAAUAAAGGAGUCUUCGAGAGUCAUUCAAACAAAUGAGUGCACACCCUCUGGCUUUCUGUGGGCUUAAUGAACCCCUAUUCACCAGAAGCACAGCCUUGUUGACAAGCCUCUGUCUUUGGAGGCAGAAGGAGAAUGCUGAAGGAAAGUUGAUGCUGGUUCACCAUGUUUAAUUCCAGCGGAAGUGGAUCUGACGUGGGCGGUCAGCCCCCUCCUUUACCAAUGGCUUAUGGAAUUCACGUCCUGCACGAGAGUGGAUAUUUGCCCAACAAAACUCACAGUAAUACUGCAGGCAAGUGACAUUGGCACAAAAGAAAGGAGCAAACUUCCCACCGCACCGCGCACCCUGGCACUCGUCACACAUCUGGUCAUCCAACACGUAUGGCUUUACCUCCACCUGUUGGAGUGAAACAGAAACAAUUCCCAUUAAUAACUGUUUCUACUUGAAGUUGUAUGAAGGCAUUCAUUUUUCUCUGGUUUAAAAAAGAAGCCAAAUAAAGCCCCUGAAAUCUGCAGUCAGUCGUAUUAUCACCUUUAUAUAACUGAACAGUUAUUACUCGUUAUCAUUUAUCACCUUCAGACCCAUUCACACUGCAAAACACCUCAAGGCAGAUCUUUAGAAGUACUCUGGGCAUGUAAUAAACAGCUGCAUCAGAAACUCCCCCUAAUUUACCCUGGGAGAGUGUUCUUUGCAAAUGAUAUUAUGAAUGUAAGUGCAGAAGAAAACACAAUCACUCAAAGGUCUCCUAACUGGACGUCAAAAUGACAAUUCUAUGUGGUUUAGCAAAAAAAUAACAGAACAUAUGAGACUACCCUGAAACACAGAAUUUUUUUUUUGAACUACAAGUGUCUCUGCAUGUACUACAUUUGUGUGCAAAUAAAAGGUACUUUCUGCAAGCUGUAAUGCAGAUCUUUAGCAGAGCUGUUCCCUGUAAACUCACUCCCUAUUUUUAGAAUAUGGUCAAAUUUGGUGCUGCCAAUUUUAGUAAUCUAUUAGUUUCUCUUUCUGUGGCUUUGAACUGUAUAGGAAUUUGUAUUCAAUACAAUUCUGAAAAUAUUUUUUUAAAGAUCAUUUUGCAAGUCUACAGACAGCUACAAACACCUGUCUUACACAGCUUCUUUCUCCCAAACUCAUCCGAGUGCCAGAAUGGAAAAGUGGCAGGAGUCCAGUGGUAAAUAUGCAUUAUGUCUUUGCAUAACUGUACUGCUUCAGACUGCGAUCAGACAGGAAGAAGUACUUCAUAAUAAAACACAAAAUGAGUUGACGCAGUCAUUAAGGAA